UCAAGUGGAUCUCGGACUAAAACCGCGACGUCCUGUCGCAACGUCCGAGUGACCAACAUCUUGUUGG
rnacentral:sRNA from 1 species